AAGACACUAGUAAAAACGAGUAUUACACUGCUUUGUCAAGGCAAAAUUGCGGGUUAAAACCCCGCGUGUCUUA
rfam:Epulopiscium sp. SCG-B11WGA-EpuloA1 SCGB11WGA_61, whole genome shotgun sequence.